rnacentral:rRNA from 1 species
AAUGAACGCUGGCGGCAGGCCUAAAACAUGCAAGUCGAACGCCCUAGCAAUAGGGAGUGGCGCACGGGUGAGUAACAUGUGGGAAUAUGCCUUUUGGUACGGAACAACGUUUGGAAACGAACGCUAAUACCGUAUGGUCCCUCCGGGGUAAAGAUUUAUCGCCAAAAGAUUAGCCCGCACUAGAUUAGCUAGUUGGUAAGGUAAUGGCUUACCAAGGCGACGAUCUAUAGCUGUUCUGAGAGGAAGAUCAGCCACACUGGGACUGAGACACGGCCCAGCCUCUUACGGGAGGCAGCAUUUAGGAAUAUUGGACAAUGGGCGCAAGCCUGAUCCAGCCAUGCCGCGUGAGUGAUGAAGGCCUUCGGGUUGUAAAGCUCUUUAGCCGACGAAUAUAAUGACUGUAGUCGGAGAAUAAGCCCCGGCUAACUUCGUGCCAGCCGCCGCCGUAAAAC